UACGAAGGGGGCUAGCGUUGCUCGGAAUCACUGGGCGUAAAGCGCACGUAGGCGGCUUCUUAAGUCAGGGGUGAAAUCCUGGAGCUCAACUCCAGAACUGCCUUUGAUACUGAGGAGCUUGAGUCCGGGAGAGGUGAGUGGAACUGCGAGUGUAGAGGUGAAAUUCGUAGAUAUCGGGAGGAACACCAGUGGCGAAGGCGGCGAUCUGGGAAGAUACUGACGCUGAGGUGCGAAAGCGUGGGGAGCAAACAGG
rnacentral:rRNA from 1 species